rnacentral:rRNA from 1 species
AAAUGACUCUCGGCAACGGAUAUCUCGGCUCUCGCAUCGAUGAAGAACGUAGCGAAAUGCGAUACUUGGUGUGAAUUGCAGAAUCCCGUGAACCAUCGAGUCUUUGAACGCAAGUUGCGCCCGAAGCCGUCAGGUUGAGGGCACGUCUGCCUGGGYGUCACA